AUAAAAAAAAACAAAAACAAAGAAAAGAAGGGAAUCUUCUGGUUUUCGUCUAUCAAAUCAUGUUUUGUACAAUAUUUCCU
rnacentral:ribozyme from 12 species